GACGUACAGACGCACGCGCAUACACAAAUUGGGGGCCAGGUGAAGACGGCGCUCAUCGAGAACGCCAUCUACUACGGCACCUACCCGCUCAUCUUCGGCUCGCUGCUCAUCUACGUGGCCUUGCACCCCGAGUGGCACCUCUCCUGUCAAGAGGGGCGUAGUUCCGCUCCACCUCCACCCCCACCAACACCACCACCACCACCACCACCCCUCAGUCAUCCAGCGUGAGUCAGCGAGACACAACGCAGGGUGAUUACCUCGGAAUUUAAUCUUGACACGAAACCUCGGCGCGAUGCCAAACACAG
ensembl:lncRNA